rnacentral:rRNA from 1 species
GAUGAACGCUGGCGGCGUGCUUAACACAUGCAAGUCGAACGGAAAGGCUCCUGCUUGCAGGGGUACUCGAGUGGCGAACGGGUGAGUAACACGUGGGUGAUCUGCCCUGCACUUCGGGAUAAGCCUGAGAAACUGGGUCUAAUACCGGAUAGGACGAUGGUUUGGAUGCCAUUGUGGAAAGUUUUUUCGGUGUGGGAUGAGCUCGCGGCCUAUCAGCUUGUUGGUGGGGUAAUGGCCUACCAAGGCGUCGACGGGUAGCCGGCCUGAGAGGGUGUACGGCCACAUUGGGACUGAGAUACGGCCCAGACUCCUACGGGAGGCAGCAGUGGGGAAUAUUGCACAAUGGGCGCAAGCCUGAUGCAGCGACGCCGCGUGGGGGAUGACGGCCUUCGGGUUGUAAACUCCUUUCGCUAGGGACGAAGCGCAAGUGACGGUACCUGGAGAAGAAGCACCGGCUAACUACGUG